AUUACCGAGUUUACAACUCCCAAACCCCUGUGAACAUACCUAUACUGUUGCCUCGGCGGAUCAGCCCGCGCCCCGUGAAACGGGUUCGGCCCGCCAGAGGACCCCAAACCCUGUUUCCAUCUAGUAUCUUCUGAGUAAAACAAACAAAUAAAUCAAAACUUUCAACAACGGAUCUCUUGGUUCUGGCAUCGAUGAAGAACGCAGCGAAAUGCGAUAAGUAAUGUGAAUUGCAGAAUUCAGUGAAUCAUCGAAUCUUUGAACGCACAUUGCGCCCGCUAGUAUUCUGGCGGGCAUGCCUGUUCGAGCGUCAUUUCAACCCUCAAGCCCCCCGGGGCUUGGUGUUGGGGAUCGGCGAAGCCCCCCCGGGGCACGCGCCGGCCCCGAAAUCUAGUGGCGGUCUCGCUGCAGCUUCCAUUGCGUAGUAGCUAACACCUCGCAACUGGGACGCGGCGCGGCCAUGCCGUUAAACCCCCCAAUUCUUUCUGAAUGUUGACCUCGGAUCAGGUAGGAAUACCCGCUGAACUUAAGCAUAUCAAUAAGCGGAGGAAAAGAAACCAACAGGGAUUGCCCUAGUAACGGCGAGUGAAGCGGCAACAGCUCAAAUUU
rnacentral:rRNA from 1 species